GGGUUGUUAGCUCAAUGGUAGAGCGUCUUGUUUUGUGCAAGGGUGUUGUGGGUUCGAAUCCCUCACAACCCA
rnacentral:tRNA from 1 species